CUGAGCCCUCCAGGGUAAGUGGAAAGAUGGUGGGCCGCAGAACAUGUGCUGAGUUCGUGCCAUAUGUCUGCUGACCAUCACCUUUAGAAGCCCCCUUUCGCUGA
rnacentral:pre_miRNA from 10 species